UACAGAGGUCUCAAGCGUUGUUCGGAUUCAUUGGGCGUAAAGGGUGCGUAGGUGGCGCGGUAAGUCGGGUGUGAAAUCUCGGAGCUUAACUCCGAAAUUGCAUUCGAUACUGCCGUGCUCGAGGACUGGAGAGGAGACUGGAAUUCAUGGUGUAGCAGUGAAAUGCGUAGAGAUCAUGAGGAAGACCAGUGGCGAAGGCGGGUCUCUGGACAGUUCCCGACACUGAGGCACGAAGGCCAGGGGAGCAAACGGG
rnacentral:rRNA from 1 species